rnacentral:rRNA from 1 species
UACGAAGGGGGCUAGCGUUGCUCGGAAUCACUGGGCGUAAAGGGUGCGUAGGCGGGUCUUUAAGUCAGGGGUGAAAUCCUGGAGCUCAACUCCAGAACUGCCUUUGAUACUGAAGAUCUUGAGUUCGGGAGAGGUGAGUGGAACUGCGAGUGUAGAGGUGAAAUUCGUAGAUAUUCGCAAGAACACCGGUGGCGAAGGCGGGUCUCUGGGCCGUAACUGACGCUGAGGAGCGAAAGCGUGGGGAGCAAACAGG